CUAAUACCUGCAUCUCACGGACUUCACCACGGACGAAUGUUUUGUUCCUCCGGUGCUGGGUUUUGUCCUGUGGCAGCCAACACGUCACAGGAGGGAUAGAUAGAGGCACGGACUGAGGACUGGAAACUGUCUAUGUAAUUGCUUACAUGAAGAGGUAUGCAAAUUACUUACACGUUGUCAGAUAUGGAGGAGAUAUGUGAAGGUGCGUUGCACAGCCUGCAUGGUGUUGCACGGAGCGUGGAGGGCGGCGACCUGUGGUAAUGCUGCAGCUGAGAGGAAGAGGAAGUGACGUGAUGCGAGGCUUCGAAAUGCCACCAAGGAAACCUGAUGAACUUGUAACGAGGAAAACAACGAAGGGAAAGAAAAAAAAAAAAAAAAAAACUAACUACUACUACUACUACUACUACUACUACUACUACUACUAUUAUCUCAGUCACUUACCAUCUUAUUUUCUAUUUUGUUUCAUCAUAUUUCAUCUGACACUCGGAAAACAAAAAGGGAAGACAGUUAUUUCAUUUUUCUCUUUAUUUUGUUAUUUUAUCUUGUCAUGCGAAAGAGAAGGGAGAGAAAAAAAAAUUGUUAUGUGCAAUUUUCUUUGUUCUAUUUCGUCUUGACACGAGAAUGAUCAUUAAGAAAAAAAAAGCUGCAAUGUUGUUUUAUACGUUUUAUUUUCAUAUUCUUAUUUUAUAACACCAGAAAAAAAAAAUAAAAAGUCAGUUAUCA